CUGAGACACGAGACGAUACUCUACGGAGUAGAAGCUGUUGAUGCCAUACUUCCAGGAAAAGCUUCUAAGCAUCAGAUAUAUAGGAACCGUACCCCAAACCGACACAGGUGGUUAGGUAGAGAAUACUAAGGCGCUUGAGAGAACUCGGGUGAAGGAACUAGGCAAAAUAGUACCGUAACUUCGGGAGAAGGUACGCUGUCGACGGUGAUGAGACUUGCUCUUUAAGCUGUUGACAGUCGAAGUAACCAGGUGGCUGGAACUGUUUAUUAAAAACACAGCACUGUGCAAAAUCGAAAGAUGACGUAUACGGUGUGACGCCUGCCCGGUGCCGGAAGGUUAAUUGAUUGGGUUAGCUCUGCGAAGCUCAUGAUCGAAGCCCCGGUAAACGGCGGCCGUAACUAUAACGGUCCUAAGGUAGCGAAAUUCCUUGUCGGGUAAGUUCCGACCUGCACGAAUGGCGUAAUCAUGGCCACACUGUCUCCACCCGAGACUCAGUGAAAUUGAAUUUGCGGUUAAGAUGCCGUAUACCCGCGGCUAGACGGAAAGACCCCGUGAACCUUUACUAUAGCUUGACAGUGAACAUUGCUCCUACAUGUGUAGGAUAGGUGGGAGGCUUUGAAGCAUGCACGCCAGUGUGUGUGGAGCCAACCUUGAAAUACCACCCUUGUAUGCGUGAUGUUCUAACCUAGGGCCCUUACCGGGCUUGGGGACACUGUCUGGUGGGUAGUUUGACUGGGGCGGUCUCCUCCCAAAGAGUAACGGAGGAGCACGAAGGUUGGCUAAGUACGGUCGGACAUCGUACGGUUAGUGCAAUGGCAUAAGCCAGCUUAACUGCGAGACAGACACGUCGAGCAGGUGCGAAAGCAGGUCAUAGUGAUCCGGUGGUUCUGUAUGGAAGGGCCAUCGCUCAACGGAUAAAAGGUACUCCGGGGAUAACAGGCUGAUACCGCCCAAGAGUUCAUAUCGACGGCGGUGUUUGGCACCUCGAUGUCGGCUCAUCACAUCCUGGGGCUGAAGUCGGUCCCAAGGGUAUGGCUGUUCGCCAUUUAAAGUGGUACGCGAGCUGGGUUUAGAACGUCGUGAGACAGUUCGGUCCCUAUCUGCCGUGGGCGUUUGAGAAUUGAAGAGGGCUGCUCCUAGUACGAGAGGACCGGAGUGGACGAACCACUGGUGUUCGGGUUGUCAUGCCAAUGGCAUUGCCCGGUAGCUACGUUCGGAACUGAUAACCGCUGAAAGCAUCUAAGCGGGAAACAGGCUUUGAGAUGAGUUCUCACUGGAGAUUUAAUCUCCCUAAAGGGUCGUUGGAGACUACAACGUUGAUAGGUCAGGUGUGUAAGGGUUGUGAGGCCUUGAGCUAACUGAUACUAAUUGCCCGUGAGGCUUAACCAU
rfam:Thalassotalea sp. PP2-459 NODE_103_length_1342_cov_119.429955, whole genome shotgun sequence.